AUGACGGCAGAUCCCGAAGCCAACCCCGACGUCUUCCCGCUGAGUCCCUGUGUAGAGUCGGAUAAUGUCCUCGGUGUCCUGAUCCGGGGCUACUUCCCUGUGGGCCCUCUGAGUGUGAGCUGCAACGCCAACGGGAACGUCACUAAGUUCCCACCUGUCGUGUCUGCGACUGACCCUGGGACCCAGUUCACCUCAUGCUACCUGCUGAUACCAGAUGCUGGGUGCCCUGAGGGAAGCAGUGUGUCCUGCACCGUGGAAUACAACAACAACAAUAAGGAUGUGGAGGUUCCCUGUGAAGAAGCCAACAUCACCUGCACCCUGAAAGGCGUGAAGAAUCCCGAUGAUGCCGUCUUCAAAUGGACACCCGACACGGGGAACACUCCUGUGCUGCUUAGUGCCCAGGAGGACUCCUGCGGCUGCUACAGUGUGUCCAGCGUGCUGCCCGGCUGCGCAGAACUCUGGAACCAGGGGACACAGUUCACAUGCACUGUCAAACACCCUGAGAUAGAGGGCGGCUCACUGACUGACACCAUCAGCAAAGACACAGGGAACAUCAUCCCACCCCAGGUGCAUCUGCUGCCGCCGCCGUCAGAAGAACUAGCCCUAAACGCACUGGUGACGCUGACCUGCCUGGUGCGUGGCUUCAGCCCCAAGGACGUGCUCAUCUACUGGCUGCACAUAGACAAGCUGGUCCCCAGGGAAGACUUCCUGGUGUUUAAGCCCCUGCCAGAACCCAACCAGACUUCCAGCACCUUCGCCGUGACCAGCCUGCUGCGCGUCUCGGCCAAGGAUUGGAACAACGGGGACAACUUCUCCUGCGUGGUGGGCCAUGAGGGCCUGCCCGACAACUUCACCGAGAAGACCAUCGACCGUCUGUCGGGUAAACCCACCCACGUCAACGUGUCUGUGGUCGUGGCAGACGUGGAAAGUGUCUGCUACUGA